rnacentral:lncRNA from 1 species
GGUAGUCCUAUACAUGCCAUUUCGAAGUUCAACCAAAAUUGUACCAAAAGGGGGGGCUUUGAUAGUGUGGGCGACUUCGACUUCAAAAUCCCGAGUCCGAUAGCUGGAGAACCAAAAUCUAUAAAACAGAGAAUCAAGGAGACGGAGUAAGCAAUUUAUGCUUAGUAAGUUUUGAGCAAGGGAUUCCAGCAUAACAAAAGUAUAGCAUUCAUGUAGCUAAACGGAUAAUUUCAUAUGCACAAUUUUUCAAUAUCAUACUUACUUCACAUUACCAACCCUUUUAUUCAUACACAAAGAUCAAC